UGAGACAGAAUCUCUCGUUGGCCUG
rnacentral:piRNA from 1 species